AUUGAACGCUGGCGGCAGGCCUAACACAUGCAAGUCGAACGAGUGGCGGACGGGUGAGUAAUGUCUGGGAAACUGCCUGAUGGAGGGGGAUAACUACUGGAAACGGUAGCUAAUACCGCAUACCAUCGGAUGUGCCCAGAUGGGAUGAGCUAGGAGGUGGGGUAAAGGCUCACCUAGGCGACGCUCCCUAGCUGGUCUUCGCGGAUGACCAGCCACACUGGAACUGAGACACGGUCCAGACUCCUACGGGAGGCAGCAGUGGGGAAUAUUGCACAAGGGGCGCAAGCCUGAUGCAGCCAUGCCGCGUGUAUGAAGAAGGCCGUCGGGUUGUAAAGUACUUGCAGCGGGGAGGCGUUACCCGCAGAAGAAGCACCGGCUAACUCCGUGCCAGCAGCCGCGGUAAUUC
rnacentral:rRNA from 1 species